rnacentral:rRNA from 1 species
GAUGAACGCUGGCGGCGUGCUUAACACAUGCAAGUCGAACGGAAAGUCUUUGCUACCGUGUGGUUCCACUGUGGCGAACGGGGGUGUAACACGUGAGUAAGCGUCCCUCGACUUCGGGAUAACUUCAGGAAACUGGGGCCAAUACCGGAUAGGAGCUCCUGCCGCAUAGCCGUGGUUGGAAAGUGUCAGCUGUGGGGAAGGGGCUCGUGGCUUAUCAUCUGGUUGGUGGGGUAGUGGCUUACCAAGGCGUUGACGGGUAGGCGGCCUGAGAGGGUGACCGGCCACAUGGGGGCUGAGAUACGGCCCACACUCCUCCGGGAGGCAGCAGUGGGGAAUAUUGCACAAUGGGCGGAAGCCUGAUGCAGCAACGCCGCGUGCGGGAUGACGGCCUUCGGGUUGUAAACCGCUUUCGCCUGUGACGAAGCGUGAGUGACGGUAAUGGGUAAAGAAGCACCGGCUAACUACGUG